rnacentral:rRNA from 1 species
GACGAACGCUGGCGGCGUGCUUAACACAUGCAAGUCGAACGGAAAGGCCCUGCUUUUGUGGGGUGCUCGAGUGGCGAACGGGUGAGUAACACGUGAGUAACCUGCCCUUGACUUUGGGAUAACUUCAGGAAACUGGGGCUAAUACCGGAUAGGAGCUCCUGCUGCAUGGUGGGGGUUGGAAAGUUUCGGCGGUUGGGGAUGGACUCGCGGCUUAUCAGCUUGUUGGUGGGGUAGUGGCUUACCAAGGCUUUGACGGGUAGCCGACCUGAGAGGGUGACCGGCCACAUGGGGACUGAGAUACGGCCCAGACUCCUACGGGAGGCAGCAGUGGGGAAUAUUGCACAAUGGGCGGAAGCCUGAUGCAGCAACGCCGCGUGCGGGAUGACGGCCUUCGGGUUGUAAACCGCUUUCGCCUGUGACGAAGCGUGAGUGACGGUAAUGGGUAAAGAAGCACCGGCUAACUACGU